rnacentral:misc_RNA from 1 species
GAAAUGCGAUAAGUAAUGUGAAUUGCAGAAUUCAGUGAAUCAUCGAAUCUUUGAACGCACAUUGCGCCCCCUGGUAUUCCGGGGGGCAUGCCUGUCCGAGCGUCAUUACAACCCUCAAGCCUAGCUUGGUGUUGGAGCAUGCUAUCUAGCAGCUCUUAAAAUUAGUGGUAGUGCCCUUCGGCUCUAAGCGUAGUAACUUUUCUCGCUAUAGAACCCGGAUGGUACGCGCCAAAACCCCCAACUUUCUAUGGUUGACCUCGGAUCAGGUAGGGAUACCCGCUGAACUUAA